GCAGUAGCCACGGGAAUACGGAGGGUGCAAGCGUUAUCCGGAUUUAUUGGGUUUAAAGGGUCCGUAGGCGGAUCUGUAAGUCAGUGGUGAAAUCUCACAGCUUAACUGUGAAACUGCCAUUGAUACUGCAGGUCUUGAGUAAAUUUGAAGUGGCUGGAAUAAGUAGUGUAGCGGUGAAAUGCAUAGAUAUUACUUAGAACACCAAUUGCGAAGGCAGGUCACUAAGAUUUAACUGACGCUGAUGGACGAAAGCGUGGGGAGCGAACAGGAUUAGAUACCCCUGUAGUCCCUGUCUCUUAUAC
rnacentral:rRNA from 1 species